GGCCGCAAGGUUAAAACUCAAAUGAAUUGACGGGGGCCCGCACAAGCGGUGGAGCAUGUGGUUUAAUUCGAUGCAACGCGAAGAACCUUACCUGGUCUUGACAUCCACAGAACUUUCCAGAGAUGGAUUGGUGCCUUCGGGAACUGUGAGACAGGUGCUGCAUGGCUGUCGUCAGCUCGUGUUGUGAAAUGUUGGGUUAAGUCCCGCAACGAGCGCAACCCUUAUCCUUUGUUGCCAGCGAUUAGGUCGGGAACUCAAAGGAGACUGCCAGUGAUAAACUGGAGGAAGGUGGGGAUGACGUCAAGUCAUCAUGGCCCUUACGACCAGGGCUACACACGUGCUACAAUGGCGCAUACAAAGAGAAGCGACCU
rnacentral:rRNA from 1 species